rnacentral:rRNA from 1 species
UGGGGAAUAUUGCACAAUGGGGGAAACCCUGAUGCAGCAAUGCCGCGUGAGUGAUGACGGCCUUCGGGUUGUAAAGCUCUGUCUUCGGGGACGAUAAUGACGGUACCCGAGGAGGAAGCCACGGCUAACUACGUGCCAGCAGCCGCGGUAAUACGUAGGUGGCAAGCGUUGUCCGGAUUUACUGGGCGUAAAGGGAGCGUAGGCGGACUUUUAAGUGAGAUGUGAAAUACCCGAGCUCAACUUGGGUGCUGCAUUUCAAACUGGAAGUCUAGAGUGCAGGAGAGGAGAAGGGAAUUCCUAGUGUAGCGGUGAAAUGCGUAGAGAUUAGGAAGAACACCAGUGGCGAAGGCGCUUCUCUGGACUGUAACUGACGCUGAGGCUCGAAAGCGUGGGGAGCAAACAGG